AGGAGUUUAACGAAGUUAUCCGGGAAGACGCCUUGCCUGCCGCCGAUUUCGCCCAUCCACCAGCCCGUGUCGGCGCAGUCCUGGAGAGAUAGAAGCGCGACAGAUCGCGGGCGCAGCUUGAUGGGCUGAUCUUUGAAGAUGUCACCAAAGCCGAAUCCUCUCACCUUGGCACGACAGCACCACCUUCAGCUUUUAUAAAGCAACUACAGAAUUUUCAAGUAAGAAACUACUUCCAGAACCAAUUAAUUUCGGAAUGGAACCGAUUAGGGCAUGUACAAGGAAAGCGCGUCUGUGCUUACGGAAUUUGCAGUUGACGAAACGACUUCCAGAACCAAUUAAUUUCGUAAGUAGAGGUACCACCAC